rnacentral:rRNA from 1 species
AUUGAACGCUGGCGGCAGGCCUAACACAUGCAAGUCGAACGGAGUGGCGGACGGGUGAGUAAUGUCUAGGAAACUGCCUGGUAGAGGGGGAUAACGGCCGGAAACGGUCGCUAAUACCGCAUACAAUCAGAUGAGCCUAGGGGGGAUUAGCUAGUUGGUGGGGUAAAGGCCUACCAAGGCGACGAUCCAUAACUGGUCUGAGAGGAUGAUCAGUCACACUGGAACUGAGACACGGUCCAGACUCCUACGGGAGGCAGCAGUGGGGAAUAUUGGACAAUGGGCGAAAGCCUGAUGCAGCCAUGCCGCGUGUGUGAAGAAGGUCUUCGGAUUGUAAAGCACUUUAAGUUGGGAGGCGUUACCAACAGAAUAAGCACCGGCUAACUACGUGCCAGCAGCCGCGGUAAUUC